GAAUCCAUAUGAACUUCAAAUAAAUAUAAAGUAAAAAUUUUAAUUUCGAUAUAUGGCGAAAAGGUUGUAUAUCAAGAGGGAAAGAGCCCAGAUUAUAAAUUAAGGUUUCUAAAUUAAUAUUAAGUUAAAAAGUAUAUUAUAAUAUUAACAAUGAAUAGGAGGUAGGCUUAGAAGCAGCAAUCCUUUAAAGAAAGCGUAACAGCUCACU
rnacentral:rRNA from 13 species